rnacentral:misc_RNA from 1 species
AAGACUAUAGACCUGCGGAGUACCUGCGGAGGGAUCAUUACCGAGUGAGGGUUCCCUCGUGGGCCCAACCUCCCACCCGUGUUUAUUGUACCCCGUUGCUUCGGCGGUUGCCCCCCCCCGGGGGGGUCCGCCGGAGACCAACUUGAACCCUGUAUGAGAGUAUUGUAGUCUGAGUCGAUUGAUACCAAUCAGUUAAAACUUUCAACAAUGGAUCUCU